AGGCCUGGGACAGGCUUAGCGUGGCUGGCUGUGUGUGUAACGUCCUUCCCACAAACUCCUGGAUGCUGCCUGCAAGAUAACAGAUCAGGAAGAUGCAAUCUGCACCAAGCCUUUGCAACUCUUGCUUUGGUGCCAGCCAGCACAGCCUCCCGGCACUGCGGAUGCCGGCAGCAUGGCGGACUCCCAGGUGUUCCUGCUGGACGAGUCGCACGUCAACGAGAAGGUGACAGAGGCGCAGGCCUGCUUCUAUUAUAGUGAGGAGCAACGUCGAGCCCUGGAGACGCUGGUGACCCGAGGUGAGGCCGCAUACAGGGAGACCCUGCGAAAGGAGCAUCUCCAAGACUUCCUCUCCAGCCAGGAGCUGCAGGCCCUGCGGGGCAGCUGGCGGGCAUAUGAAGACCCGCGGGAGAGUGCCAAGGUGAUGCGGGGCCCCGGCGGCAAGGCCGUCUCGCUGGCCUACUGGCCUGAGCUCUCAGACACGGAGGUCCCGCCGCUGGACCUGGGCUGGACCGACAAGACCUUCUACCGGGGCAUCAGCCGUGUGGCCCUCUUCACGCACCCUCGCAAGGAGGAGAACGUGCCCCACCUGAAGGAGGUGGUGAGAGAGAUGAUCCAACAGGCACAGAAGAUUAUUGCAGUGGUCAUGGAUGUAUUUACAGACCAGGAUAUCUUCCGAGAUAUUGUUAAUGCAGCAUACAAACGCUGGAUCCCAGUCUAUAUAAUCCUAGAUGAGGAUGGUGUGAAGCUCUUCCUGGAAAUGUGCAGAUGCCUUGAACUCAGUGACUUGCAGAUUCGGAACAUCCGCAUCCGUUCUGUGACAGGAGUUGGGUUCUACAUGAAAACAGGGAAGAUCAGAGGUACACUGGCAUCUCGAUUCUUGAUGGUAGAUGGUGAAAAGGUGGCCACUGGAUCAUACAGCUUCACAUGGAGUUCAUCCCAUAUUGACAGAAACAUCCUACUAGUCUUGACAGGACAGCAUGUGGAGAUGUUUGACAUUGAGUUUCGUGAGCUCUACGCUAUCUCAGAGGAAGUAAAUUUCUGCAAGGAAUUGGGUAUUGCUAAUCCAAACCAUCAUGGAAUUGGGAAAUCAGGCUUUCAUUCCUCCACCGUGGCUCGGAAGAUCAUUAAUCCCAAGUAUGGCUUAGUGGCAGGGGCAACUCGUGGUGAUAUGUUGCUCUGGGCUUCACGACACAGGGAGGAUAAUCAGGAUAAUAUGGAAAGGGAAGAAACAAGUGAGUCUAAGAAACGAUUAAAUCAGUUUCUGAAUGACUUAAUCACAUUAGAGCAAGAACUCCCAGAGAUUGAACCACCUCUGGAGAACUUCAGCAGGCAGAAUCGGAGCCCUCAGAAACUGUUGUCCCGGUUCCACAUGGACCUGAAAAACAAAUCCAAGUCCAGAGAGUCCAUUCGUGAUGUGAAGAAAGAAGAUGCACAGGCCAACUCAAAGCAAGGCAAGCGGUUUGCCAGUGGGAUUUUUGGUCGCAAGGCCAAACGAUCUCCAGGUUCAAGCAUUGAAGCAAAUUCUUUUGCCAGUGAAGGACACUCAGGGGAAGACCUCGGGAAUAUGAAACUGGAAUAUGAGCAGCUCAGCACAAGCCAUGCCAGCGUUCGGAGCGCUGAAGGCAUCUCAGGUAACCUGGGUCCAAACUCCACUGCAAGCGAUAAAAGCAAACAAUCUACCUGUGUGUUAUCUUGAUUGCAUGGGAAACUGAAGACUGAACAAGCUGGCUUAGUAACAUGUUUAUCGAUUUGUCCUUACACAGUGGUCUGUCAAGCCACUGUGUGAUCCUGGAUGCAGCUGGCACCCCCAGUUAAAUCUUAUUUACUGGGUGAAGCAUAGACUUUGGAUGGUCUGUCCCUUAAAUGAGGGUUAACGAUGAAUGUAUUAGUCCAUACGUGUGUGUGCAUAUAGAUUUUAUACAUAAAAACAACUGUGAUGACUGGUCUCAGAGCUUGCUCUGUGUCCAGGUAAAUGCAGAUUUUCAGACUUACUUAUGCUGCUACUUCAGUCUGUUUAGUUACAGACUCAGAAUCACUGUGUUGCAUUGUUUACUCGGCUGCAUUGCAGAAAUGUAUUGGCCCGAUCGGCUGGAAGUCAGAGUCCAAUCAGUGGCAAAUUCUGGGUGAAACAGUGAUGUUUACAGACAGCAUAGCAACGCUUUGUCCUCAAGGAGUCUUCCUGUAGAUUCUUAUUGUCACUUACCCACACAGAAACUAGUGGUUGGGGGAGAAGGGUUUAGCCAGAAGAGGCCAAUGGAUUACUAUCUUAACUGUUUAUUUCGUGUCGUAAAUAUAGUAGUCAAACAAAGCGAUUUGGCAGUAAUCUGUUAAAAAGAAGCACUGGAGUGUUAGGGGAGUGUUUAACCUGCAGCUGAGACUGGGUCAGAGAAAUGCCUUACAUGGGAGAGUGGGCAGAUCUGGGAGCAGUCACACAGCUUUCAAUGGCUGCUAUAAAAUCCUGUUUGUUGCUAAGUGAGCGGUACUUUACCCUUCAUGGAAACUGUAUGAUUAAGGAGCACAUCUCUGAGGCUGAAAAGAAGCAAAGCAGGCAGACAAGCUUUUCAAAUGCUCCCUUCUUUUUCUUUUUUUUGCCUCAGGUUAACAUUUCCAAGCUCUAAAAAAUGCCUAAAUCAUGGGCUUUGAUCCAUAAGAGACGCUGCAUGCAAUCAGGCCAAAGGCCAUCUAAUCUGCUAUCCUCUCUCUAGGGCACCAAGUAACAGGUGAUCACAGAAGCAUAAAAAAUCAAGCUUGGGUACAAAAGUCUUUCUCUGACACUGUUCCAGCAGUCUGUGGACUUUCUGAACUGGCAGUUCCUUCUGGACCUGGCCUUAAUGAAUGCACUUAGUCCUUUUUUAAAAAUCCUUUUAUAUAUUUGGCCUCCACAGUGUUCUGUGGCAGUGGACCCUGAGUUCAUUGUGCAGUAUUAAAAAGAACAGUCUUCAGGCAAUUUUAAUGGUUUACUUGAUGAUUUCAUCGGGUGACCCUAAUUAUUCCACUGUCAGAUGUAGUAAUGACCACUCCUAUUCCUCAUCUUCUUGCCACUUUUUACAGACCUGUAUCAUACAUGUCCUCAGCCAUCAUGUUUCCAAGCUCCACGUUCACGGUAUGUGAAACUAUUCAUUACAGGGGAUGUGCUCGACACCACUGCCCUCAGGUUCGCUGGCUCUCUUCCAGUUCUGCCACUAACAAAGUGGAGAAGCAGGUUGUUUUUGUUUCCUCAGUAUGCAGAUUGAUGUUUCACUCUGCUUUCUUGCCAUCUAAAUUAUACACUCUCCAGUUAUAAAUAAGCACUCUUGUGAUAUCUAAGAAAAAUAAAUCCUAAUCAUAGUAGACAACUGAAAGGUAACAUACUUGUUUGCCAGAAAGCUAUACAGACAUCUGAAGCAAUGGGUUUAGUUUUUUUUUUGUGUUGAAACACUGUUGAGUUUAUCUCAGUGCACAGCAAUGACAACUGCUGCACUACGAGCACAGAACAAGCUGCUCUAAAGGCUCUUCCAGGUGCUGGACUGCAAUGUUGAUUCUUACAUUAAAACAGCUGCCUGUAGUUGAUGAUGAAAUGCAAUGGAUUGAUUGACUGAUUAACUGCCUUUCCUGGAAGUGAAUUUAACUUGAACAGCAACAAGGUUUGUUUUACUCUGGUUUUAACCUGUAGAAUAUCUUGAGACCCUAAAAUACCAAAGGUAUUAUGCUCUCUGUUAAAUACACUUUCACUCAGUGGGUUAAAUGCUUGUGACUCUAUACAGUUAUUCUAUAUAGCCUUCUGGGAACAGGCUGUAGUUUUACUGCUAGGUCUGUCAGCUCCUAUUAUCAGCAGUGUUUUAUAAAAUUGUUCCUGGUAAUGGAAGAGAAGAGGUGUUGGAAAUUACACCAUCACUUGGACACAGAAGUAAGUUAAUACAUGAGAUAUCCUGUUGGCUGCGGGUGCAGUGUUUAUGUGCCAAAAGCUAUUUGCUAUAUAUAUGUAUGUACUAUCUGAAAUGGCUUGAUUUUGCCAUGCUUCCAUUAUUCUCCAAAUGAUUGGAACCUUUUUUUUUUUUUUCUCUCCUGGUAUUUAUUUCACUUUGUUAGCAGAGAUUCAAGAGAAAUUUAUAAAGCCAAUGUGGUUCCAGUUCUUUGUUCUGAUAGGAAUGUUGUCACCUGGUACUUCCUUGUUCUCUCGGACUUUUAAGAUAUUUAUUUAUUUUUUAAAUUGUGCAAUAGGCUAAUUUACUAAUUAGUACUGUGUUAAUAUAUCUGGUCAGGUUUUCCAGGAAGUCCUCUGCCUCUUUAGGCUUUUUUCUUUGUUGCUUCAUCUUGGGUGGAGUAACUUAAAUCACUCGAGAAGCUGAUUUCACUAUUUCUUCUAUUCUAUGCUUGCUGAUUAACACGCUUUACUUUCUUUUUCCUAUGGCAGAUGCGAAAGCACUUUCUUCAGCCUUGUCAACUAACAGGAUCUCCUUUCUAGUGAGAAUCUCUCAUCAAUUUGUCUUAUGUUUUGAUGCCACACCAGUUUCUAAACUGUAGUGUUUGCUCAUUCGUUUUUAAUUCCCUUCUCUACUUUUAUUGUUCGAAAGUCAUAGAAGUCUAAUCUCAUGCCUUGACUCCAGAGUCUAGUAGAAUUCCUCAGGCUUAUUACACAUUAUUAAUUUACUGAAUUGAAGAGAGCAAACUUGCUUUCUUGCAUGAUGUGAAUCUGCUUCUUAAACUCAGCGUGACUCUUAAGGGAUGCACGCAACCUUGCUGAUCCAGAGUGGAUGUUUCAGACUCUGGUGGAACUUGUUCUUCCCUGCAGACAAGAUCAGCUGAACUUGGACAUUCGGCUGCUUCUAUGGCAACAGGUCUGAGUGCUGGUGAGGUGACUGCAUUUAUUUUGCUAAUUGUGGUUCUUCAUAAGUACUAGGAUCCUACCUGUAAAAUGAACCUCUGUCACUUUCCAGAUAAAAUGUUGUUGAUGGUGCUACGGGCAGAGGGGUGAGAAGCAGUGGUCGUCAGUUCUCUUAGAAGUCUCUUAAUGGAAGCAGAUGGUGUAGCAGUGCCUAUAGCCGUGUCUAUAGCAGUCUUCAAAUAAGAAGUCAUUUUGUCCUAGCACAAGAAGCCAGCUCUUGGAACAAACAUAACCACGUCAUUAGCCUUCCAAGGGAGUGGGAAAGAUGGAAGAUAUUUGAUUGUUGCUAUUGGGAAGAACAAGGUCAGCUCUCUUUGGAGUCUGUUUCCUGAGCCUGGACAAUCCCAAGAGGUUGUCUGUUCUCUGGAUCUUGUUCACUGUUGGUCAUUCAGCCCAGGUUUGCUGACCAUGUGGUGUACCAUGGGACUAUACUGGCCAGUCUUGGUUUUGGAAAAAGAGUAGUGAAACUGGGGCUUGCAGCUCGCUAUUUCUGAUGUGAAAUGGGGAGUGGUUCUGAAAGAGCAUCAUGGCUGAAUGCGUACCUUCUAUGCUUCCUUUGGGAUGCACUUGUAUACUUAACACACGUGUGUCUUUAUGCCAAAGAUAUUUUCUAAGUGAAACAAAUAAACUCUUUGCUGUGUUACGUUCAGGUAAUUCGUUCCUUGGUGUUGUUUUUAACUUCUCAACUGCACUUCCUAGAUUGUUGGGAUUUUUUAAUUUGUUUCUGAAGAACCUGUACUUUCUAGAUUAGAGUAGGUUUUCAUGUAACACAUGAACAUCUUUGGCCAGUGCUAUGUUUCUUAACAGAUGUGGGGAAUUCAGCUGCCCACACAAGUACACUGUCCUCUGGUACUGACUGCUUUGAGAGAGGCUCUACAUCACUGGAGCAGGCUGGAGCAGAUGUCCACUUCAAUUUCUCUUUGGUGUUAUUUUUCAUUACCACUCUCUUUGCAGCUGAACUAUGUCUUGCUGCAGCUGUACAUGCAUAUGAUGAAGUGCUACUUCUGUUUUCCUUUCCAUCUUUCCUGUAUAAUUUGUACCCAUCAGUAAUGACAUUUCACUUAUGAAACAGAAUCCCUCUGCUACAUUUCAGGUUUACCUGGUACAGUACAAUCCUUGACAUUUAAGUAACUCCACAGCUUGUUUCCCACGCUCCCUUUGUUUGGGUAUACAAAAGCCUUUUUUAAAACUCCUGACCAUGUUUCAGAAUAAAUCCAGUCUCUUAUUUUACUUCUGGGCAUCAUGGUACAUGAAAAUGUGUUUAUAGAAAACAUAAUCUUUUUCUUUCUUCCUGUGUUUAAGGUCCAUGUAGCAAUUGCAUCCUUACUGUUUAAGAAGAGUCUGUCUAAUCCAAGCUCAUUUCACAGGUUAUGUCAGGGCUCCAGUAUUAACAAUACCAUCACUUUGCGUCUUUUCCAUUACCUUAUGGAGGUUUCCCAAGAAACGAAGAUAAAUGUACUUCAUCUUUAAUAUUACUAUUUAUUAUUUACUUCUUUCUUGUUUCCUGACUCUUUUGCUCAUGCUCUUUCAAAAUCAGGGUACAGUUCAGGAAUUAGCGCCCUCUUUGUGUCACCUAGACCUUGUGUCCCCUGUCCUUGGGGGAAAUUUGGGAAAUUUGCAGAUUUGGGAAUCCUCGUAAACAAGAAAAGCUUAUGAAAAGCACAAGCAACAGUAGAAACCCUCUCAGAAGAGAAACCUACAGAUGUAGCAUGUAGCAGAAGUGACAGAUGUUUACCUAACUCUUGUCACAACACUUAUUGAUUUCUGCUGCAAGCCUGGACGUGUAUACCUGGGGAGCGAGGAUGUAGAAAACCACACCUUAAUAUGUAAUGUUUCAGCUUCUCCAGUCUCACUCACAACGUGGACAAACUUGCCAUGCUUUUCAACACAACGUGAGGAAGAGUAAGGAAGAGAAAGGAAGAAUAGCUGAGAUGCAUCUGCAUAGGAACUUAGGGCAGAAUUGCUGGUGUGUCCUAAAUUCCUAAUGUGAUCUGCCAAUGUCAAAAGUUUUUGAGAUGUUCCUAACUCUGUUUCUCUCUCCAUUUUCAGUCUGCCUAGCUGCAGUACCAGCUCCUGCCUUUUCAUCUGCCUUGUCAGGUUUUGUUUUCUUUUUCUAAAAUAUUAGAUAUGUCACCUUCUAGGAGAACUGUGAGCAUGAAACAGCUCUUCUCUUGCUUUUUACCUGAGACAGGCAACUUCCAGGUGAUGGGGUGCGCUGAAAGACAAGACUUAAUGACAGAGGAUGUGUGAAAUCGUUGCUUGUAUUUUCCUGGUUAUGUGUGGAAUUUGUGCAGGAAAGCUGAUGGAGCAUAGCACCAAACGAAAACAUGAAUAACGAGGAACGUAGCCCUUACAGAGGGCCUAAAACAUAGAAUAUAAAAAUGAGAGCUUAUUUUAAUGCAAAUACAUAUGGUGUCAUAGGCAAGCAACCGGGAAGUCAGGUCAAGGAUAUUUUCUAAGUACUGUCUGUAUUCAAGGGUCUUUUGCCUUUUUAAUUUCUUUGAAGAAAAAAAAAAAAAAAAAAAAAAAAGCUUCUGCUGAAUAGUGAAUUUUAUUUCAAUUGUGCAAGUGAAAAAAGUACGUUGUGCCAGUGGGUUGUGGCCAGAUCAGCAUUUUGUAUGAGUUUGGGGGUGGAUUUGGCACAUGCCCACUGUGGGCUGAAUAAACACCACGUUUCUUCAGCUUUUUGAUUUACCAAUCUGGAGUGGCUGUUACAGAAAGAACAUUGCUUUCUGCAAUCUGACCAAUACACAGGAUUGAGCACUAAUAUCAAGGCUCUCUGGCCUCUGCCUAUGGCAGGCGUAGUGUCUUUUUAUUGUAUCCAAAACAGUACUCCCAAACCAGGGCCUGAGAUGUAGAUUAAAUAAAUAUGGCAAGAUGGGGUGACAGAGGAAUGGGAAUGCUUCAGCAAGAUGUGCAUCUAUUGCUCUGACAUAGCUGGUGGAACACAUCAGUUUGAGCUUCCCCUGCAUUAGCUACACAGUGAUGUAAGAUGGAGUAUGGGGAAAAAAAUGAACACAUGAAAACAGAUUGCUUACUCUAGAGCUGGAUCCCAUACCACGAAAACAAAAGCUACGUGUUGCAUGCCGACAGAGUGUGUGGGAUAGGAAUGUCAGCUGUAUUCUACCAUGCAGACUGACAGCAGCCCAGGUCUGGCUUUUUGCACAGUUGGGACUGUGAAGAAAAUGAAUUGUAUACUUGAAUACUUACACAGGCAGAUCCUUGUGUCCGAGGUUCCUUGGAUGUAAGAAAACAUAUAUAUAAGUGCUGCUGCUUGCUUAUGAGGAACAGAAUCGUACUUGCCUCAUCUUGCAUUGUUUGUGACCAUGGUGCUUAAGAGAUGCAGGGGCUACUUUACUGGUGUGCUCUGGUUUCUCUGAAACUUCAGUGGUAGAGGAAGUAAUAAGGCACUUUGAGGUAGCUGGGCUCCAGCUUCUCUGAAGAGGACACUUCCACAAACGAAAAUGAUUAAAAGGAAUAGCUAUCUCUCUGAGAAAUUACAAUGUAUUUGGUGAAACUGAGUAAAAUCCCAGGGCACAGAUGCUAGACAACCUUGGGAAAAGGGCAUUUACUUCAAGUGUUUGAAAAGAAAAGCUAUUUAAACUUUGAAAGAGCUAUUGGUUUUAUUGUUGCAAUAUUUAUGAUCUUCUCUUUAUAGGUCAUGCAACCAUUUCCUUAGUUAUCCUUAAUCUCCUACCAGAAAUUCUUUCCCUUGGCUGGCAGCCCCCUUGAGCGGAGCACUUGCACUACAGAAAUGGAAAAUAGCAAAUAUAAACCAAGUGGGAUCAUUUAUAGCUGUCUUGCUAAGUGUGUAACACAUCUGCAGAAGGAUAAGUUCUUCUGAUUUAGCGUGGCCAUUAGUGACAUUUUACUGCUUCUGAAAGGAAGAAAAUGGCUCUGUUUAGUGUCCUGAGGUAUAACUGUGGUAAUCAUGGAUGUUAGAAAUGGAAAAGGCUGCUAGGUCGUCUGGGUCAUCGCCCUAGUGCAAUGCAAAAAUUCACCAGCGUAUCUUUCUAGGAUUUUGUUAUUCUACCAUUUGUUUGAAAUUCUCCUUCACAGCCUAAUAAAUCUCAUAGAAAGGUAGUUAAAAUAACUUCUCGGAGAUGUCUGAGAGAUAGAAAUCCUUGCAGGCAUUGCGCUGAAAUAAAGACCUGUUUCCUGGUUUAUCCAAGCAUCUGCCAUUGCUCUUUCACAGUGAAGACACUUCCUUUGUUUGGUAUUUAUGACUACAGCAUUUCAAUAAAUCAAAACUUUUCUGGAAGGAAAAGUUAAAGCAGUCUCCACUGGUUUCUCACCAAUUUCCAAACCGCUUUUAAACAUGUUAAUUAACUUACAGAACCAAAGUUAUACUUCAGCAAAUCUGGAUUAAUUUCGCUGCACCCACUGGGGUUAUGCUGGAUGAAUGCUGGAGAUCCUGACAGCGCAGUAUGACCAACAGCUUCCCUUUUGCAUCCAAGGAGACAAACUCACAAGAACAAAGACAGAGACAGACAAGCACAGGCGCCAGACACAGAUGCUGUACCCUGCAGCCAAAAGGAGGAUGUUGUUUCAGGCAGGCUCCAUCUUGUUUCAAAGUCUCCCAUGUAAGCAGCGCUUGGUAUAAGUAAUUGGGAAUUCACUUGUGCACAGCAGUGUUGCUAACGUGAGGAAACCCUUGAAAACGCUGUAGGGUCUUUGCAUUGAAUUCUGCUUCAAAAGAAAUGGCUGCAAUAGAAGGAUUUUGGAGUUGGACUCUCUUGAUAAACACAAACAUCUUUUUGAACACAGCCCUGGUCUGGAGCACCUUGUUAAGAGUAGCUUUAAUAUGUAUUUUCAUUGUUCUCUGUGCUAUGGUUAGCCUGUGGAAGCAAGACCGUAAGGAAGAAUUGCUGCCAGGGCUGGUUUAAGCUCUGCAAGGUUCUCAAGUGACAGGAAGUAAGCCAGCAGCAGCAAUCAAGUGCGGUCCAAGCAGCAGAAACAAACAGUAGAACUGAGCUGCUCAGGGCUCUUGAGAGGAAACAUGCUUUCUUUAGCACAGUCAGUGAAUCCAGAACAGCAACCACAGAACAUCUUGCUCUCUUCAGGGGAAGGAAAGAAAGAAAGAAAGAAAAACCCAACAAACUUCUGGCUUUCUUCUAGUUGUCCUGAGGUUUAGUGCAGGAUUAAAAGGAAAGUCCUGGGGUUUUUGCUUGCUUUUUCACAUGUGUGGGGAGAACAUGCUAUUUGGCAAAUGGUUGUCAGUGCAUGAUGAAAUGCACUAGAAUCCUCCUCAUCAUUCCUUCCCUGUGCAAAAAGAAAAUAGCCCAGUGGGCCAAAUGCAUGUUAGCCCCUGAGCAAUUGAGUCUUCCUCCAUUUCUGCUUGUGUGUGAUUAAUUGGUGGCUUUGAAGAGAUCGUCUGCUACCAAGAGGUGCUGUGAUUGCUCUCAGGAGUCAGCCUGUGGGCUUUACCCAUGCAGCCCCGCCCCAAGAUCCCAGCAGCAGCUCAGCCACAGGGAAUCUGCUGGCAGGCUUCCAUCAAGGGGGUGACACAAAGCUGUGCUUGUGAACCUAGAUUUAACUUUGCUGCCAACCAUUGCAGAAGACAAGCUGGGACAGUGAGUGAGUCACAGGGUUUGUAAGCAGUCAGAUUUGAGUAUUAAAGAACAAACAGCCUGGCCCACCCAGCUUCACUGUUCUCUGUUCCAGAAGCCGCUGGAGGCCAAGUCAUGGAAACGGCUGCUGCUGGUCCAUUUCCCUGUGCAGCUCUUCCUGCUGUCACCACUGUCAUCAACCCCCCAUUCUCUGUCCAGCUCUUUCUUUGGGAUCCUUGCUAGGGCCUCCCUGCAGCUGACGCAGAGUAAGGAGGAGGUUGUGGCCAGGAAAGGUCAUGUGCACUCAUGUGCCCAUAUAUCUGUGCAGGAGAGAUGAAAUACACCUUCUGUGUGCAACCCUGGAUCCAAGAAACCUUCCAUGCAGCUUCCCACUUUUUAGCACUCCUUUUUUAAUCUUUUUUUACUAGUCCUAAGGUUGUGCAGUCUUGCAGUUGUUUUGCUCCUCUAGCUUUCUUUCUUAUGGUGCUCCCUUCCUGCAUUAUUCUCACUUUCUGUCCUCAGGUUCUACUGUAAUUGACUCAGGUUCCUCUGCAGGUGGCAAUAAGCAGUCUUGUUAUGUACUGUUUUAAAAAUAAAAAUGCAGACAUUGUGCUUCCCCAUCAAACACCACUUUAGAGAAGUUGUGGGCGAAAAGAAGCCUGUGAAAGGAGCAAUAGUGAAACCACCAUCCAACAUGAGGGAGAGUUUAAGCAGUCCAACGGUAGCUCUAACUCCCUGAUUAUGGCAAUUUUUGUGGGUUCUCUCUCCUUCUCUCUCCUCAGUCUGCCUGAAGGAGGCACGAUUUUCCACACCACCAAAGGAAACAGAUGUUUCCACCUCCAGAUCUUCUGCCCUUCAGUUUAAACUCUUUUGCCCCAUUCUGCAGUUACACUUCACCCUGUUUGCCAUACUCCACUCAUGUCUUCUCACACAUUCUUCUUGCAGAGUGUCACUGCUGCUUGCAGUCUGUGCCCAGCUCACCAGACCAAAGAAGCACUGCUACUCCACCUGAGUACUGCUUUCAGUCCUUCUGACGGGUGCGGACAGCAGUGCACCUUUUCAACACACAGCAGUGUUGCUUCUGCAGACAAAGGCAAAAUGGCAGCCAUUCUGCUUGCGUUGAUCUCCUUCAUAAUAAAGGAUAAUGGGAAACCUUUUGAAUAUGAGGGAAAAAGCCCAAGUUAAAAUAAAAAUUAAACAACGUAUCCAAUUAAUUAGAAUCACUGCAAAGCCUUGGAAAGCUGCCAUCUUAAAUUACUACACAGCUACAACUCCCAGGAGGAAAAAAAAAAGUAGUAAUUGGGAGGAAAAAAUUACAUACUCCUGUUAUCUUAGUAGGAGUUUGAAAUAGACAAGACAGGUGGGAGCUUUUCCAGCAACAGCAUUAGUCCUGCAUGUAUGGUAUUACCUGUUAUGCACAGCUUACUGAUUCCCUGCUUGCAAGGGCACAUAUAUAUUCACAGUUCCUGAGGAUGGAGGGGAUGGGAGGUUUGUGUCCCAGCCCUCUUUUUUUUUUCCCAAGCCUGAUUAUUCUAUUGCAAUGGGGCUGGGUGACAAAAAAGUACACAAAUAAGUGCUGCAUGUAAAAGUGUGGCUGCCCUGGAAGCAGUGGAAACUCCAGUGUACACUUAAACUUUGGAAAGUGGAAGGAGAGAGCGCCUUAAGCUGUUACCCUAUGUCUCAAUGUAAAAUUCUAACGCUGUCCUGAUGAUGAAGGUGGAGCUGUGACAAUAAAAUGCUGUAAUUGCUUUCACAUACUUAUGUUUAGGUUCAGCUAAAGGUGACUCAAACUGUUGUGUAUAAGUUCCUGCUGCUGUUGAGUAUCAUCUCUGACCAAGUUGGUGAAACGGGGAGGUGAAAAGAAUUAUGUGAGCACGGCAGCACAAGUUGAAAAUUCUGCUAAGCAUUUCGCUUCGGACAUUCAUAAACUGUUCUUCAAACUGUC